GCCGGGCAUGAUGACGUGCGCCUGUAAUCCCAGCUACUUGGGAGGCUGAGGCAGAAGAAUUGCUUGAACCCAGGAGGCGGAGAUUGCAGUGAGCCAAGAUCGCGCCACUGCACUCCAGCCUGGGUGACAGAGCAAGACUCUGUCUCAA
ensembl:misc_RNA Metazoa_SRP Metazoan signal recognition particle RNA